AUUGGCAAAUGAUCUGUGGUUAAGAAUUGAAGACAAACGAUCCGAUUGAAGUCUACCUGGUUGAUGUUGCGGCUUAUGCUUCUCUCCAAGAGAUCAAUUAUGUUUUUUACAAAGCGGUCAAGUAUAUGAUGGUGCUCAUGCUACCAGGCCUGAACACUUUCUGAAGCACAGUUACAACAGAUGUAAUGUUUUCAUCAUCGUUCAUACUUCAUAUACAACGGAAGAUUCGAUUUUAUACAGGCUUUGUUAUUUUCUCUUGAAUGUCUUCAAUGUUUUUAUCAACGACGCUAUACAAGUCACGAUCCGAUAUAAUACAGGUAAAAGGUUAAAUCUUCAACUGCUAAUACAGGUAAAACUCUAAAUCUUUGAUUGAUAAUAUUUGUUAUUGAACCUCUGUUCUGAUUAGUAUCUUUUUUUCGUUGUUGAAAUUAGGGUUUCUUGAUUUCUUUUGAUUGUGUUUCCUUCUUAGGGAUUGUAAAUGUUCAUCAUAGUUUUUAAUUUUUGUUUGGUUUUUAAUGUCUUUCUGAAUAUGUAUGUUUGAUUAAUUUUUUAGAAAUUUUAAUGAUAUCCAUUUAUUUGUACCACCUAAUGCAAAUCAUAUGUUAAUUCAUUUUUCUGAGAGUGAUAAAGGCUUUGUUGAUGACGUGAUUGUACUUGUGGUAUUCUUGAGCCUUUACGGAAUGGUUCUCAUAGUGUUGACUCAAUCGAUGAUGAUGAACAAUGAUGAACAAAGCGUUAAUGAUGGAAGUUUGGACAUUCUUAAAACUGAU